rnacentral:rRNA from 1 species
UAAUACAUAAGUAACCUGCCCUAGACAGGGGGAUAACUAUUGGAAACGAUAGCUAAGACCGCAUAGGUACGGACACUGCAUGGUGACCGUAUUAAAAGUGCCUCAAAGCACUGGUAGAGGAUGGACUUAUGGCGCAUUAGCUGGUUGGCGGGGUAACAGCCCACCAAGGCGACGAUGCGUAGCCGACCUGAGAGGGUGACCGGCCACACUGGGACUGAGACACGGCCCAG